UUCCUGUCCUCUCAAAGAGGUUAAAUACUAUUUUCAUAAUGAGUUAUAAUUAAGAAGUUUUCUCAUGUCAAAUAUAAAAACAAAAUCAUAUAGUUCAUCGACUCACUUUAUGUCUUACCAGCUUUUUUAUUACAAAUUAUUGUUCAGUCAACACUUGAAAGUGUGUCCCAUUUUUUCCUAAGGUUUACCAAUAGAUGAUGAUAUUGAUGAUGAAAUGUUUGAUGAUGACCAUUUAAAGGUUUAUUUUGAACAACUGGCAAUUCCAGGAGUGAUGGAAUUAAACAUAUGAAGAUCUAGAAGGACUGGAGCCUUCAGAAAAAGAUCGGACAUUACCUGCAAGUGCUCCUAGUCAGGAAUGUUCCAGUCUUUGUGGCUUUUCCGAAAUUUGACAUUAGAAAAUCACUAUUGUUCUCACUGGAUGUUCACAUGAAAUUUAAGCCUCUGGUUUUCUCUGGACUCCAUUUUUUUCCAGGCAAAUGAAAACCGCAGUUUAAACUCUAAGUUUCAAUCAGAAUCUAACAGCUCCUGGAUUUCCCGUGGCUCACACUCUUCUGAAACAACUCACAAAGAGCCUGAGGAAGCAGCUCUCCCUUAUCAGUGGGCCAGUUUAUUUGUCUCCCUGGGACUAGUAAGUACUGAAAUGGUUCUUUUGUUCUUAAAUUCUAAGUUUGACUUUACCUUUAAAAAAUUAUUUCUUUGGUAUGAUUUAGUAUGUAUUAACCCUUCCACUCCCUCAAGUCUAAAACUUUUCAAAAGAAUUUUUAAUAAUACCUGAGUAAAUUGGUGUUAUUAGAAAUACCAUAGUCGGUAUUUCUUGGGCUGAAUGUUAUGAAUGAUUGUGUUCUACCCAGACAUCGAGAAUUAGAUGUGAAUUCUCUCAUAUGGUAGCAGUUUAUCAUGUUUAUUGUUGCCUCUUACUGUUGCAUAUUUUCUCUCUGGGCAUUUUGUGCAAUAUGUCAUAUGAAUGCUAAGUAUUAGGUUUACAUAAAAGAAUAUUUUGAUGAGAAGGAUGCAGUUAUUAUAUUAGAUUGCUCAGAUUGGACAUUGCUCCAUUAACUGUAUUUUUCAGGUAAUUCUGUAGUUACUGGAGGUAGUAGAAGGCACACAGAUCAUGCCAUUUCCCUCUAGUACUUGGAUAACUGAGAAAGAAAUGGCAGAAAAUUGUGAGUGGUAUUUCCAGCUCCUAACAGAGUAAGUUAUGCUUUUUCCUUAGACGUCCUAUGAAAGGGAAUAAGGAGUCCUUUGCAUUUGUAUGAUAUCAGUUUAUUUCCAAAGAAACAAUUGCUGUUGACAUCUGAAAACUAUAGAAAAAGUAUAAAAAUUACUACCAAUAAUGUUUCGUAUGUUUGUAAGUUUCUUUCCCAUAAUUUUCUUACAUUUAAAUAUUUAAUGUCUUGUGUUUAGAUCAUUCAUGUGGAAAGCUCUUUGGCCCAGCGUCAAAACAUUAAAUAAAAAGCAAACAGACCUUUA
rnacentral:lncRNA from 1 species